GUGCUCACUUCAGCAGCAUAUAUACUAAAAUUGGAGUGAUUCAGAGAUUAGCUUGGCCCUUGCCCAAGGAUGACAUGCAAAUUCACGAAGCAUUCCAUAUUUUU